rnacentral:rRNA from 1 species
CGCUAUCAGAUGAGCCUAGGUCGGAUUAGCUAGUUGGUGAGGUAAUGGCUCACCAAGGCUACGAUCCAUAACUGGUCUGAGAGGAUGAUCCAGUCACACUGGAACUGAGACACGGUCCAGACUCCUACGGGAGGCAGCAGUGGGGAAUAUUGGACAAUGGGCGAAAGCCUGAUCCAGCCAUGCCGCGUGUGUGAAGAAGGUCUUCGGAUUGUAAAGCACUUUAAGUUGGGAGGAAGGGCAUAACCUAAUACGUUA